rnacentral:rRNA from 1 species
UACGUAGGGGGCUAGCGUUGUCCGGAAUCAUUGGGCGUAAAGAGCGUGUAGGCGGCCCGGUAAGUCCGCUGUGAAAGUCGGGGGCUCAACCCUCGAAUGCCGGUGGAUACUGUCGGGCUAGAGUGCGGAAGAGGCGAGUGGAAUUCCUGGUGUAGCGGUGAAAUGCGCAGAUAUCAGGAGGAACACCGAUUGCGAAGGCAGCUCGCUGGGACGUUACUGACGCUGAGACGCGAAAGCUAGGGGAGCAAACGGG